UACGGAGGGUGCGAGCGUUAUCCGGAUUCACUGGGUUUAAAGGGUGCGUAGGUGGGCAGGUAAGUCAGUGGUGAAAUCUCCGGGCUUAACCCGGAACUGCCGUUGAUACUAUCUGUCUUGAAUAUCCUGGAGGUGAGCGGAAUAUGUCAUGUAGCGGUGAAAUGCUUAGAUAUGACAUAGAACACCAAUUGCGAAGGCAGCUCACUACGGGAUCAUUGACACUGAGGCACGAAAGCGUGGGGAUCAAACAGG
rnacentral:rRNA from 1 species